rnacentral:rRNA from 1 species
GACGAACGCUGGCGGCGUGCUUAACACAUGCCAGUCGAACGGAAAGGCCCUGCUUUUGUGGGGUGCUCGAGUGGCGAACGGGUGAGUAACACGUGAGUAACCUGCCCUUGACUUUGGGAUAACUUCAGGAAACUGGGGCUAAUACCGGAUAGGAGCUCCUGCUGCAUGGUGGGGGUUGGAAAGUUUCGGCGGUUGGGGAUGGACUCGCGGCUUAUCAGCUUGUUGGUGGGGUAGUGGCUUACCAAGGCUUUGACGGGUAGCCGGCCUGGGAGGGUGACCGGCCACAUGGGGACUGAGAUACGGCCCAGACUCCAACGGGAGGCAGCAGUGGGGAAUAUUGCACAAUGGGCGGGAGCCUGAUGCAGCAGCGCCGCGUGCGGGAUGACGGCCUUCGGGUUGUAAACCGCUUUCGCCUGUGACGACGCGUGAGUGACGGUAAUGGGUAAAGAAGCACCGGCUAACUACGUG